AUUUUACUAACCAAAAUACCGAAAACCGAAUCAAACCGAACCAAAACCAAACCGAUAUCCGGUAUGAACACCCGUAAUCCAAAUAAAAGCGAACUAUUGUUUCAUUCUCUAAAACAUAAUAAAAAUAAUAACUUCACUUCGCGCAAGGCGCGGAUCUUAUCCUAGUAAGUAGUAAAAUUACAAACACAAUUCUGUAGGAAACAAAUUUCUGUUGGAAAAGAAAAAAUUCAGGGAAUUAUAUUGUGUGUAAGCAUUUAUUGUGUAUAUCCUAAUACGGAGAUUUAGGCAUAAAAAAGGAGAAUUCAAAAUCAAAUCUGCUGAACUCAGCAAAAUACAAAUUUAAAUUUUGGUUUUGCACGUGAAGUCUACUAAUUUAUGCUUAGGUUUCAAUAAUUAAAUUUGGUUUCCUGAUUUUGUUCAAAAAAAUGGUUUCCUGAUUAAAUAUUUAUAAAUGAAAACCCUAAUUUCAUUCUUCUUAUCUUCUCUGGCGGCGUUUCAUCUACUCUCUCUUGUCUCAUUUUUUUUCUGAGAGCAUCUCCAAUGUACACCUAUAUAUUUUUCUCUAAAAUAGAGAUCUCUAUUAUAGAGAAAAAUAUAGAGAUUAAAAUAGAGGUGGGUUGGAGAUGGUCUGAUGCCAAAGAACCAAGCAAGUCUUCUUGUGCUCAAAGGUCUCUGUCUCUCUCUCUUUGUUUGAUUCGUUUUUGGGUCAUGUAUUGAUCUGAGUUUCACGCUUGGGUCUAGCUAAUUUUACUCAUGUCGUUGUAUUUCAGAUCUGUAUAAGAACCCGUCUGAUAGUUUCACAGUCACCUUCCCUAUCACGUCGAUAUGUUAAAACAUCUCGCUCUCUGUUUGUGGUGCAGCCAUGGAACCUCUCUUUCUCUCUCUGUAUGAAGCUUAUGGUGGUCUCCUCUCGGUGGUUCAGCCAAAGCAGCGAGGCAGCGUCGGUUUUAUCUCCUCCGUUCUUCCUCUUUGCUUCACAACUCAAUCAAUCUUUAGUGCUUCUCAGCUCAAAGGUGUAAAACAUCAUGUCGCUUCUUCUACUCCUACGCUCUUAAGUUUUGCUGCUUGAUGUCGUUCUUUAUGUUUGCUCAUGGAAGACUACACCCUUGGUGUUGGAAUAAUGUAGCUUUCAAGGCGAGAGAAGCUAUAACACAGCCAAAAGAUUGAGAAGCAGAUCUGAUGAGUUUCACAUAAUCAAAGACUCUUAUUUAUAGGUUUAGAUUCCUAACCAUUCAGAAAAGAAAGGAUGCAUUUAAUGAAACAAAGUGGGAGGAGUGGGUCGGUUGUCUUCUGAGUUGGAAGAUAGAACAUGAAUCGACAUCAGGAUGGCAACGUCGGCCGAAAAAGAUGUAGUUAACGUGAGUUGGUUUAAUCCAUUAAACCAAUUUGGAGUUUCGUUUGAUCUAUUCCAUGGCCCAUUUCUAAAUAGUCUGUUAUUAUUUUCAUUGGCCCAACUCUAAAGAGUAUCACGGGUGUUUUCAUUCGUUUUAAAUUUCA